rnacentral:rRNA from 1 species
UAGGGAAUCUUCCGCAAUGGGCGAAAGCCUGACGGAGCAACGCCGCGUGAGUGAUGAAGGUCUUAGGAUCGUAAAACUCUGUUAUUAGGGAAGAACAAACGUGUAAGUAACUGUGCACGUCUUGACGGUACCUAAUCAGAAAGCCACGGCUAACUACGUGCCAGCAGCCGCGGUAAUACGUAGGUGGCAAGCGUUAUCCGGACUUAUUGGGCGUAAAGCGCGCGUAGGCGGUUUUUUAAGUCUGAUGUGAAAGCCCACGGCUCAACCGUGGAGGGUCAUUGGAAACUGGAAAACUUGAGUGCAGAAGAGGAAAGUGGAAUUCCAUGUGUAGCGGUGAAAUGCGCAGAGAUAUGGAGGAACACCAGUGGCGAAGGCGACUUUCUGGUCUGUAACUGACGCUGAUGUGCGAAAGCGUGGGGAUCAAACA